rnacentral:rRNA from 1 species
CAGAGUUUGAUCCUGGUCAGGAUGAACGCUAGCUACAGGCUUAACACAUGCAAGUCGAGGGGCAGCAUCAUCAAAGCUUGCUUUGAUGGAUGGCGACCGGCGCACGGGUGAGUAACACGUAUCCAACCUGCCGACAACACUGGGAUAGCCUUUCGAAAGAAAGAUUAAUACCGGAUGGCAUAAUUAUUCCGCAUGGGAUAAUUAUUAAAGAAUUUCGGUGUCGAUGGGGAUGCGUUCCAUUAGGUCG